rnacentral:rRNA from 1 species
AGUAGAUGGGGGGCGGGAGCAGGGGAGAGACGGAGGGGGCCAGUGUUGGUCAGAAGUGCAGUGCGUAAAGGGCGGGUAGGCGGAAUGGUCAGUUAGAAGUGAAAUUCCCGGGGUUAAGACGGUGCGGUCGUUCAAAACUGAUGGGCUGGAGUGUGGGAGAGGGAAGUGGAAUUCCCGGUGUAGAGGUGAAAUGCGUAGAUAUCGGAAAGAACACCUGUGGCGAAGGCGGCUUCCUGGUCCGUUACUGACGCUGAGGCGCGAAAGCGUGGGGAGCAAACAGGAUUAGAUACCCCAGUAGUC